CACCAGGUCAGGACACGGUAAGGAUUGACGGACUGAAGGCUCUUUCUCGAUUCCGUGGAAAGUGGUGCAUGGCCGUUUUGGUUGGUGGAUCGAUCCGUCUGGUUAAUUCCGUUAACGAACGAGACCUCGGCACUCCGAAUAGCGCGGCGGACGUCGCGGCCUCCGGGCCGUCUUCCGCACGAGCUUCUUAGAGGGGACCGUCCCCCGCCGGGGAAGGAGGUGCGAGGCAACGACAGGUCUGUGAUGCCCUUAGAUGUUCUGGGCCGCACGCGCAUUACACUGACGCGUCCAACGGGUGACUCCCGACCCGAAGGGGCCGGGGAAUCCGCAAGGCGCGUCGUGAUGGGGAUUGAACGUUGCAAUUGUUGUUCACGAACGAGGAAUUCCUAGUAGGCGCGGGUCAUCAACCCGCGCCGAUUACGUCCCUGCC
rnacentral:rRNA from 1 species